rnacentral:rRNA from 1 species
AUUGAACGCUGGCGGCAUGCCUUACACAUGCAAGUCGAACGGUAACGGGCCUUCGGGUGCCGACGAGUGGCGAACGGGUGAGUAAUAUAUCGGAACGUACCUUUCAGUGGGGGAUAACGUAGCGAAAGUUACGCUAAUACCGCAUAUUCUGUGCGCAGGAAAGCAGGGGACCUUCGGGCCUUGCGCUGAUUGAGCGGCCGAUAUCAGAUUAGCUAGUUGGUGAGGUAAAGGCACACCAAGGCGACGAUCUGUAGCGGGUUUGAGAGGAUGAUCCGCCACAGUGGAACUGAGACACGGUCCAGACUCCUACGGGAGGCAGCAGUGGGGAAUUUUGGACAAUGGGGGCAACCCUGAUCCAGCCAUGCCGCGUGAGUGAAGAAGGCCUUCGGGUUGUAAAGCUCUUUCGGCCGGGAAGAAAUCGUAUGGGCUAAUACCCUGUGCGGAUGACGGUACCGGCAUAAGAAGCACCGGCUAACUACGUGCCAGCCGCCGCCGUAAAAC